rnacentral:rRNA from 1 species
AACGAACGCUGGCGGCAGGCUUAACACAUGCAAGUCGAGCGCCCCGCAAGGGGAGCGGCAGACGGGUGAGUAACGCGUGGGAAUCUACCCAUCUCUACGGAAUAACGCAUGGAAACGUGUGCUAAUACCGUAUACGUCCUUCGGGAGAAAGAUUUAUCGGAGAUGGAUGGAGCCCGCGUUGGAUUAGCUAGUUGGUGGGGUAAAGGCCUACCAAGGCGACGAUCCAUAGCUGGUCUGAGAGGAUGAUCAGCCACACUGGGACUGAGACACGGCCCGGACCCCAACGGAGGGCAGCGUUGGGAAAUAUGGGACAAUGGGCGCAAGCCUAUUCCGCCAUUGCCGGUUGAGUGAUGAAGCCCUUAGGUUUUAAAAGCCCUUUCACGGGUGAAGUUAUUGCCGUUACCCGAAGAAGAACCCCGGCUAACUUCGUGCCAGCCGCCGCAGUAAUAC